rnacentral:rRNA from 1 species
AUUGAACGCUGGCGGCAUGCCUUACACAUGCAAGUCGAACGGUAACAGGUCUUCUGUUGCUGACGCGUGGCGGACGGGUGAGUAAUACAUCCGUACGUGCCCGACCGUUGGCUAUAACGAGGCUACAGCUUUUCUAAUACCGCAUACGAUCUACGGUUGAAAGCGGGGGAUCUUCUGACCUCGCGCCGACGGAUCGGCCGAUGGCCGCUUCGUUAGUUGGUGGGAUAAAAGCUUACCAAGCCGACGAUCUGUAGCUGGUCUGAGAGGAUGAUCAGCCACACGGGGACGGAGACAAGGCCAAGACGCCUACGGGAGGCAGCAGUGGGGAAUUUGGGACAAUGGGCGAAAGCAUGAUCCAGCCAUGCCGCGUGCAGGAUGAAGGCGUUCGGGUUGUAAACUGCUUUUGUACGGAACGAAAAGCCUCUUCCUAAUAAAGAGGGGUCAUGACGGUAACGUAAGAAUAAGCACCGGCUAACUACGUG